GGCAGAAUUCCUCCGAGCCGGGGAGGAGUGACGAAAAAAACGAUGCGGGACUCUUCCGAGGCCUCGCAAUCGGAAUGAGUUCAGUUUAAAUCCUUGGACGAGGAUCCAUUGGAGGGCAAGUCUGGUGCCAGCAGCCGCGGUAAUUCCAGCUCCAAUAGCGUAUAUUAAAGUUGCUGCGGUUAAAAAGCUCGUAGUUGGAUCUCUGAUUCGGACCGGCGGCCCACUCAAGGAUCGCCCUCGCUGAAAAUGGUGGAUGCUUUUCGCCCCUUUC
rnacentral:rRNA from 1 species